rnacentral:lncRNA from 1 species
UAGUAUUAUUUAAAAGAUUUAUUGCAUUGUAUUUUGGUUGAUGUCAGCAAAAGCAUAAAUGACUAAACUGAGUUUAACUCCUAGAAUGCAAUAUAAAGGGUUUAAAUGUAACUACAAAACAAACACUUCACAUGGAUAGAUAAAAUGCUAAGUACAAUAAAAAUAUACAGUAUUUUCAUAAAAUCAAGGCAUAAUGUAAGUACUGGUGGUCAAUGAUUUAGGUAAAAUCUUAUUGGUUAACAUGUUCAAAUUACAUUAACCAAAAAAAAAUCUUUAAAAAAAAAUGGUAUUUGGUAUUAUUGUUCAAAUAAACAAAAAAUCUAAACAAAACUUUUAACUUAUCACUUCUUGUACCUUUAUAUUUAUACUACAUAACCAAUUGACUUAAAACAAAAAUACAGAUAUGUGAUAUAAUGUUCUUUAAAAUUCUGCAUCCAUCUGAUGAUUGUGAAGCAUUGCAACAAUAGACAUAAAAUUUCUUGUUGAGGAAGCCUAGUAACAAUGUUUAUAGUUUUACAAUUGCAGAAAAUAUUUGAUAUUUAAAUAAAAUAUUGUAUAGAAUAAAGUAAAAUUAAAGAAAACAUUACAUAGAUGUAGAAACAGUCUUUUGAUUAACAUUUUCAAUAAAUAACAAGAGUUAAAAUUGGACAUUGUAAAAUUCAUAAAUAAAUACAUGUAUAAUGAGAUCAACAACAAAACAUGUAAUCAAUUUCAAAAAGAUAUGGACAAGAAACCAAAUAAAUUAACAGUAGGAUUUCACAUAAUUUGAAAGGAUAUCCAAAAGAAUAAUCAAUAUCUCUAUUUAGCAUGUUGUGAUCAAUUAAGAUAAAAAAAACCAAGAAUGUGUCCAUAGAACAUGGAUGCCCCAUGCGCACUAUCAUUUUCCAUGUUCAGUGGACCGUAAAAUUGGGGUUAAAAAUCUAAUUUGGCAUUAAAAUUAGAAAAAUCAUAUCAUAGGGAACAUGUGUACUAAGUUUCAAGUUGAUUGGAUUUCAACUUGAUCAAAAACUACCUUGACUAAAAACUUUAACCUGAAGCGGGACAGACUGACGGACAAACGAAUGAACUAAUGGACGCACAGACCAGAAAAUAUAAUGCCCCUUUAGUGUUGUAGGUGGGCCAUAAAAACUUACCAUAUUUCAUAAACAUUUUUCAUUACAAAAUUUAUUAUUAACUGGGUCACUGUAGCUCAAAGCUAACACCACUAUUUUAAUUUUACAGCAGUAGUCCAAAGAAAAUGAUGGAUCUUACAAUUGAAGCAAGUUCAGGUCUUGUGGUCAUAAAACUUGACUCAUUAUACGGUGUCUGGUAAGUCUUUAUAGACUGAGUAUUGAUCCUUUUUUUAUGAUGUUGUUAUGUAUUUUAAUGUAGAUCAAUAUGUGACACUUUUAUAAACUAUUAUUUAUCUUAUCUUAUCUAUUACUUGGAGUACAAAAUUUGUGCAUGAAACACUUAAUCUAUAAUCUUGUGUUUUGAUAAGCUAAUUUUAAAGUCUGAGUACCAUAAUUGUAACAAAGUUUUAUGACUGGCCUUAUCUUUGAGAUUACAUUAAACUUCAAUCUGAACACUUGGUGUCUAAACUUUAAUUUAUAGUUGGCAUGUCACAAAACAAUAAUAUAAGCUAUUUGAGAUUUUAUAAUCCACAAAAAAAUGUGUGCAUAUCCCUCUCCUGUUGAACAUUGAGCUAGGUUUUGAUUUUUUUUUUUUUUCACAAUAUGUUCAAAAGUUGAAUAAAUUGUAUUGUUAUUGACAGGGCUGUCAGUUUUUAUAUAAAAAAAAACUAUUUUCCUUAUUAAUAUAGCUAAUAAAAUAACAGUACUUUGAAAAAAUGCCUUUUUAAACAUAUUUAUAACAUAUUACAAAUAUUCACAUAUNNNNNN